rnacentral:rRNA from 1 species
GACGAACGCUGGCGGCGUGCUUAACACAUGCAAGUCGAACGCUGAAGCUCAGCUUUUGUUGGGUGGAUGAGUGGCGAACGGGUGAGUAACACGUGAGUAACCUGCCUCCUUCUUUGGGAUAACGCCCGGAAACGGGUGCUAAUACUGGAUAUUCACUGGUCUUCGCAUGGGGGUUGGUGGAAAGGGUUUUUCUGGUGGGGGAUGGGCUCGCGGCCUAUCAGCUUGUUGGUGGGGUGAUGGCCUACCAAGGCUUUGACGGGUAGCCGGCCUGAGAGGGUGACCGGUCACAUUGGGACUGAGAUACGGCCCAGACUCCUACGGGAGGCAGCAGUGGGGAAUAUUGCACAAUGGGCGCAAGCCUGAUGCAGCGACGUCGCGUGAGGGAUGGAGGCCUUCGGGUUGUGAACCUCUUUCGCUCAUGGUCAAGCCGCAACAAUGGUUGUGGUGAGGGUAGUGGGUAAAGAAGCGCCGGCUAACUACGUG